UCAAUAGGCCAUGAUUGACCUAGAUCAUGCAAUCGCUUUGGCUAGGAAUUAAGCCCGAAUUACUCUUCCGUUUUUGGUCGCGGCUCAUUAAAUGGGGUCUGGGCCACAUGAAAUCAAAAUCAAACUCAAAAUCGUUUCCGAUCCGUAAUGUCUUUGCACUUAGUUACAAAACGUUGAGCACAGCAGAUCGAAAAUGUUUUGGGAUCUACUUGGUGGAAUUUUCGAGUUCAUUUUCGGGCUUUUGUUUCCCAGUUCGGACAGCGGGGAUGAGCCGGAUUCCGAGGAGGUGGAAACCACCUGAUGGUUCUAGCAGUUCACUUGAUUUAUAUUUCUCGUUCUUGUGAAAUUCAAAGAGUUUUCUUUAUUAUAUCUACGUAAAGUGUGUAUAGUAUGUAACAUAAAUUGCUCCAAAUAUGUUUUACUA